rnacentral:rRNA from 1 species
UUUUUUAUAAAAGUAAUUUAUUUAUUUAAUGUUUUAGUAUUUAGUAAAAAUUAAUUUAUAGAUUUAUAGUUUAAUAGUAUUGUGAAAGAAUUAAUUAAAUUUAAAAAAGAAUAUUUUUAGUACCUUUUGUAUCAGGGUUAAUUAAAAUUUUUAAUUUUUUUUUAAUUUCUCAAAAUUUAUAGAGUUAAUUUUAUUAUUAAUUUAUUGUAUUAUAAAUAUUUAUAAAAUAAUAUUAGUUUUGAAAUUUAAUUCGUUAUAUUAUAUUUAGUUAUUUAAGAUUUAAAUUUAAUUUAAAAUUUUAAAAGUUAUAUUGAUUUUAUAUAUUAAUAUUUUAAAUUUAAAUUAUUUUAGGGAUAAGCUUGAAAUUUUUAUAUAAUUUUUUAUUUAUAUUAAUAAUUUAUAGGAAUAGAAAUUUUUAUUUUAAGUUUGUAAAAAUUUAUUAUUUAUUUGUUUUUAAUUUAUUAUAAAUUUAUUUAUUUUUUUUAUUAAAUUUUAUUAAUUAAUAUUUAAUUUUUAGUAAUAAUGAUUAAAUUAGUAUAAUUUGAAUUUAUAAAUUAUGAAUUCGGCAAAAAUUAUUUUCAUCUGUUUAACAAAAACAUUGUAUUAAGUUUAAUUUAAUAUAGGAUCUGCUCAAUGAUUUAUUAAAUAGCUGCAGUAUUUUGACUGUGCAAAGGUAGCAUAAUAAUUAGUCUUUUAAUUGAGGACUUGUAUGAAAGAUUUGAUGAGAAAUAAACUUUAUUAUUUAUAUAAUUAAAAUUUUAUUUUUAAGUAAAAAAGCUUAAAUUAUUUAAAGGGACGAUAAGACCCUAUAAAACUUUAUAAAUAUAAAUUUUAAUUUUUUUGGGUUUAUAAAUAUUUUAAUUUUAUUAUUUAUUUUAUUGGGGUGAUAAAAAAAAUUAUUAAACUUUUUUUAAAUUUUUACAUUAUUUAAUGGUUAUUUGAAUUAAAAUUUUUAUUUAAAGGAAAAAGUUACUUUAGGGAUAACAGCGUAAUUAAUUUUUUAAGUUCAAAUUUAAAAAUUAGUUUGCGACCUCGAUGUUGAAUUAAGAUUAAUCUUAGGUGCAAAAUUUUAAGUAUUAGGUCUG